CACCGGCGGCUCGAGUGGUAACCGUUAUUAUUGGGUCUAAAGGGUCUGUAGCCGGCCGGAUAAGUCUCUUGGGAAAUCUGGCAGCUUAACUGUCAGGCUUUCAGGAGAUACUGUCUGGCUCGAGGCCGGGAGAGGUGAGAGGUACUUCAGGGGUAGGGGUGAAAUCUUGUAAUCCUUGAAGGACCACCAGUGGCGAAGGCGUCUCACCAGAACGGACCUGACGGCAAGGGACGAAAGCUAGGGGCACGAACCG
rnacentral:rRNA from 1 species